GUGCAGAAGAACAAUUACCGUUUAUGCUGAAGGAACUUUGGAAAUGGACUUAAUCUGGAGUACAUGGAACUCUGUUCAACUUAUGCCUCCUGAUGAAAGAUUCCUGCUUGUAGAAACACAAUUAUUAACUUAAUGAUGUUCGUUGAACAUCUUCUAGAUGAACUAGAAGCGGAGUACUUUCACUGCUUGUAGAUGGACUACAAAAGCAGUAGAAUUUCAAUUUCCACAACCAUUCCAAGUGACCUGAUGCUAAACUCUGUACAACUUCAAAGUUGAAGAACCAAGUAAAAUUCUCUAUAAUUAAACCUUGAAGUUUGUUUUAUGAAAAUGGAUGAAUCUUUACCAUUCAAAUUUAUUGUGUUUGUUUUAAAACAUUGAUUUUAGAACAUAUUGAUUUCUCAAGCUCUAGAACAUUAUGUUUGCAAGAAUACUAAGUAUUGCUUGUCUAAAUUUUUGUGGAUAUAUUUUGUGGAAAUAAAAUUUGAAGUAAAU